GGCAGUAUGGCCUAAGGACAGGGCGCUUCAUUGAGAGUCAGGAGGGCUGGGGUAUAUUCCUAGUUCUGCCA
rnacentral:tRNA from 1 species